rnacentral:tRNA from 4 species
GCCCCUGUAGCGCAAUGGUAGCGCGUGAGACUGUUCAUCUCAAGGUUGCGGGUUCGAGCCCCGCCAGGGGUU